GGGGGGGGGGGGGGGGGGGGGGGGGGGGGGCGGGGGGGGGGGAGCGGGCGGGGUGGGCGGCGGGGGGGGGGGUGGCGGGUGGGAAGAUGCCCUUGGGUAGGGAAUAGUCCGGGGAGACUGGGGGUCAUCCCGUCUACGCCCGUUGGGGGAAAGAUUUAUCGGGGAAGGAUUAGCCCGCGUUGGAUUAGGUAGUUGGUGGGGUAAUGGCCUACCAAGCCGACGAUCCAUAGCUGGUUUGAGAGGAUGAUCAGCCACACUGGGACUGAGACACGGCCCAGACUCCUACGGGAGGCAGCAGUGGGGAAUCUUAGACAAUGGGGGCAACCCUGAUCUAGCCAUGCCGCGUGAGUGAUGAAGGCCUUAGGGUUGUAAAGCUCUUUCAGCUGGGAAGAUAAUGACGGUACCAGCAGAAGAAGCCCCGGCUAACUCCGUG
rnacentral:rRNA from 1 species